GGCUGCUAUUGUGAGGAAAGGAGUUUCAUCAGCCCUACUACACAAAUGUGAGUUGUUGCUGUUAGUGAGAUCUUCUGAGUGAUCCCCAAGCAGAGAAUAAUCAGGGUGUGUGAGUGGUGGAUGAUGGGAAAACUGAAGCCCCAGGCAUGAACAGGGGCCAGGAUCCAAAAUGGCGGUCACUAUCUGUGCAGAGAUGGGACAUCUAUCUCCUCCAUCCUAACCUCAAGGGAGGAAGAGAUGAACUCAUUUGGCAUGGGGGAGGCCAUAUGCAGGUUGGAGGAAGGGAGGAGGCUCAGGGCUCUGCUCCAAGAGAUGUCCUUGGGGGUUGGGUGCACAGGAUGAAGCAGACCUCACCCUUGAUGGACUUGUAGUCUCCAAGGGCAGUGUCUGCCAUGUGUCUCCAAAGGCAAGCCCAAAGCAAGAGCUACCUGUGAUGUUUUUGCAUGAAAAUAACCAAGCUGACAAGAUAACAACUUUCCUAUUACGAAAAAGACUUUCAUUCUUUUAAUUAUAUGCUCAGCUGGGGCCCGACUCCCCACUGUGAAAGUAAAUGACAAUUUGAUAGGGGUCACCUGGGGCUGAAUGGUAGGGAAACAGGCCUACUGGAUGGGUGGAGGUGGCAGGUGUGCAGAGGAACGCCAGGUUUGGGGGUUAAUUACACUCUCUGUGAAGCAGUCUGUUUUCCCAGAAGAGCUUUACCCCCAAAUCCCACCUAAUCAGAUGACCAAACCUGGAAAGGUAUGAGACUUGGAGACCCUGUGCCUCCUUACUAUGUGACCCCCUUCUCUGGUGCCAAGAUCACAGGGGACACUGUGAAUCAAUGGGUAGCCCCAAGAGUAAAUUCUAGAAUUCCCUGCUUCCCUAGUCACCCAAUUAACUCCCUUUUCCUCUAAAGGGCAGGGACUGGAAUGAGUUCCCAAAUCCCAAGAGGAAAGAUCAGGAAUACAAAAAGAACAGGACACCAAUGACCUCAAUCAAUUCCUGUUCAUCACUAGGUAGAAAAAAAAAAUUAGGGACAAACACACAGAAACAUAUGGUGUUCAUGGACAAUGGACAAAUGAAGAAACGAGGCAAAAGGGCGAUGGAGACAUAAACAUGUAAAGGAAUACAGAUGGUAUAGUGGUGGAAGAAGCAAUGGAUUUGGAAUCAGCAGACCUGGGUUCAAAUUCUCCUGGAUCCUGGAAAAUCAUUUCUCUCUGAACUUGUGUAUUCCAUCUUUCAUUGGGAUUGUAUUAGACCAAACAGAAAGGGAUAGCCAUUAAAUUGUACCUAAGGAUUCUUGCAGGAGUAUAAUGACUUAGAAAACCACAUGAUAACAUUAUUUAUGUUCUACUGUAUUUUUAUUGAUUUUUAAGUGUUUCCAAUUACAUUUGAAUCUGGUUCACACCCCAGGUUCCAGUCAGCUCUAAAUCCUAUGCUCCCACACACAAACAAUACACAGAGCCAUAUAUGGAAGCAGACCCAACUACAGAGGCACAUCAACUAUUUGACACUCAAUCCUCUAGGAAUCACAGGAUUUAAGAUAGAAGAAAGCUGAGAGAUUAUCUAAUCCAGUUCUUUACCUGGGGUCCAUGAACUUGCAUUUUAAAAUAUAAUUUAUAUAGUUUUUCCAAGUAAUUUUUUAUUCUUGGCAAUCUGAUGUUUCAUACUGUAUGCAUUUAAAAACUUUAUUCUGAGAAGGGUCCAGUCCUUACCAGUUUACCAAAGGAAA